UGGUGAUCUUUCUUGAACGAGAUUCAUAAAGGAGACUUUUUGCGCUUACAUUUGCUGAUCAUUAUCUGCACAAGAAAGGUGCUUCUGUGUGAUCGUGUUGAAGGCUUGGCAUCCUGUGAAGACUGCUGAAUUGUGUUGAAGGGUUGGCAUCCUGUGAAGACUGCUAAAUUGUGUUGAAGGCUUGACAUCCUAUGAAGACUGUUGAAUUGUG
rnacentral:lncRNA from 1 species